rnacentral:rRNA from 1 species
UUAAUCGUGAAACCGCGAAUGGCUCAUUAUAACAGCUAUAAUUUACUUGAUCUUGACACAAUCCUACUUGGAUAACUGUGGUAAUUCUAGAGCUAAUACAUGCAUUAAAGCUCUGACCUCACGGGAAGAGUGCAUUUAUUAGAACAAAACCAAGCGGCUUCGGCUGUUUCUGGUUGACUCAUAGUAACUGAGCUGAUCGCAUGGUCUUGCACCGGCGACGUGUCUUUCAAGUAUCUGCCGUAUCAACUUUCGAUGGUAGUGUAUCUGACUACCAUGGUGAUCACGCGUAACGGAGAAUAAGGGUUCGGCUCCGGAGAGUUCGCCUGAGAAAUCGCGAACACAUCUAAGGAAGGCAGCAGGCGCGAAAAUUACCCACUCUCAGCACGAGGAGGUAGUGACGAAAAAUAACGAGACCGUUCUCUUAUGAGGCCGGUCAUCGGAAUGGGUACAAUUUAAACCCUUUAACGAGUAUCUAUGAGAGGGCAAGUCUGGUGCCAGCAGCCGCGGUAAUUCCAGCUCUCAAAGU